UAUAUAUCUCUCUGAGGGUGCCAGAACCUCUGGAACUGGAGUUACAGACGGUUGGAGCUGCCAUGUGAGUGCUGGGAAUUGAACCCGGGGUCUUUGGAAGAGCAGCUGGUGCUCUCAACUACUGGGCUAUCUCUCCAACCCCAGCAAAUUGCUGUUUUUAUUUUUUAUUUUUUGGUUUUUUGAGAUAAGGUUUCUCUGUGGAAUAGCCCUAGCUGUCCUGGAACUCAAUUUGUAGACCAGGCUGGGUAAAUCGCUUAAAAAAUUUUUUUUUUUAAAAUUUUUAAAAUUUUUAAAAAAUUUUUUGAGGCAGGGUUUCACUGUGUAACUUUGGAGCCUAUCUUGGAACUCCCUUGUUAGACCAGGCUGGCCUUGAACUCACAGAGAUCCCCCUGCCUCUGCCUCCCGAGUGCUGGGAUUAAAGGCAUGUGCCACCACGGCCCAGCUUAAUUUUAAUUUUUAAUAAAUUUAUUUAUUAUUUAUUUUACAUCCAGGCUGCAGUUUCCCCUCCCUCUCCUCCCAGUCCCUCCCCCCCCACCUCUUCUGUCCCCACCUCCCAAUUCACUCCUCCUCUGUUUCUGUUUAGGAAAGGGCGGGCAGGUUUCCUUUGAGUAUCAACAAAACAUGGCAUAUCAAGUUGCAGUAAGACUAAGCACCUCCCCUUGUAUUAAGGCUGGGCAAGGUGACCCAGGAUGAGGAGUAGGGUCCCAAAAGCCCAUAAAAGAGACAUCCCCUGCUCCCACUGUUAAGAGUCCCACAAGAGGACCAUGCCUUACAUAUAACACACGUGUAACGGCUAACGUAUAUGCAGAGUGCCUAGAUGCAAAUUGCUUUUUAAGGAUGUGUUUUGUGUAUAUUUAUUGAUGUAAGUGUGUAUGUGUGCGCAUGAAUGUGGGUGUCUGCGGCCACCCCGAAGCCAGAGGUUUUCCUUCUUGCAUGCGACGAUGUCAUUUGAGUAGAACAUCACUGUUACAGACGCCAGAACAGUGAGAGAAAGGAGAAGGUGACCAGGAUGAGACUCUAAGAGGAGAAAAAUGAGAAGCCAUUUGGUGAUUCCCAAGUAUUGCAAUCGCAUGAAGAAUUUAUGGAGAGUUCACAUGCCUGCACUCUGCCCCAGUACUCGAUCAGAAUCGAUGGAGGUAAAACUCCAAGUUUAAACAGUCUCUUAGAUGGUUUUCGCAGAGUGAAGUUUGAGACACUCCCUUGAUGGCUGGCUUCUGACCCCCAGCCUGCAGACAGGUGGAGGCAUGCAGAUGAGUGAUCAAGCACCCUCCUCGACGAGUGGAUAACAUGCUUCUCAAGUGUACAUACAACUCUUGACCAGCGCUUGUCAGUGGUGUUAAGAUGUACGCGCCUUUAGCCAUCUAAUUGUGAUAUCAAACUCAAAGAGGGAUUUGUCCUAAAAGUAAAAUUAUAGUCACCUGGAGGUCCAAGAAACCUUUUGGCAUUUCAUUUGAGGACUCUUUUCUCAGGACACAGCUCUGUUCUUUUUCUAGUUUGCUCACAGAAACACAGGCAUUUUAUCGGAGCCGUUUUUCUACCUUCUGAAGACCUGGAAUAUUACGGCUCUAUGACUUGACUUAGUCGGGAGGGGACUGAAUCAGGAAUCCGGAAAUACAUGUGAGAUUUCUACUUGUGACAAUAAUCUUCACUUUGGGGCCUUUGAGUGCAUUAUCUUAUUUUAGCAUUAAAGUAGCUUUUCAAAGGGUGUAUGAUAUACGUAGAUUUAGUUGCAGAAUCUCAUCUCAUAAAAGGUAGGCCUCAUGCAUUUUGCUUUCCUUGCUCAUGCAGCACAUCUUGGUACAUAAGUAGGGAAACUGGGUGGUAGAGAGGGAAAACAGCUUCCUGCUCAAAGUCUCCAAGCUGGUCACUGGAGAGCUGGAAAGGAGUGUUAGCAGUGCUUGACUGGACAGCUUUUUCUUUACCCCAGCGCGACACUGUUGCCUGCAGUCCUGCUGAUUUCUGCCUAAUUCAUGAGCCCCACUUUCUUGCUACAGAACUGAAAAAUGGCUUGAACUUCAAGAUUAAAACAAAACAAAACAACAAAAAACAGAUAUUGAACCUGGUAGUGGAAGCGCACACCUUUAAUCUCAGUACUCGGGAGACGGAGGCAGGUGGAUCUCCGAGUUUGAGACCAGCCUGGUCUACAGAGCCAGUUCCAGGACAGCCAGGAUUACACAAGGGAAACCCUGUCUGGAAAAACAAAACAAAUAGAUAUUGAACAUCUAUGAGGAAAUGUGUACAGGGCACCCUGGCUCUUAGCAUUAUGUGUACUGUCCUGUUGGUUGUCCUGUUAGCAAAAGGACACAGCAGUGCCGAGCGGAGGGGAGGGGAGUGCCCCGGGAGAGCUGCUGGAGGAGAAGAGCCUCUGCAAACAGUCUGGCUAGAUGGCUGCCCUAGCCUCUCUUUCAGGUGGCAGUUGCCAUGGUGCUUCAGGGGAAGAGGGAGGGAGUGAAGAGCAAGGAGGGUCAUUCAGAGUCUGGGCUGGUAUUCCUUUUCAGAGUGCAUUCCCUUAGGGAUGGCAGGAAUUUAAACAUUCCAGAGAGGGAGGACAGGGCUCACUCUUGGCUUUCCUUUAAAUACCAGAGAAACUGGAGUUUGUAAAGAGGAGAAAGUCUGCUGCCAGAAGAUGUGGUCCAGAUUUAAGGUGGAUCUUUCUGCUUCAAAAGAUACAGAUUUAGCAUGGCUCUUCCCACUUCAAAUGAUUCAAUCAAGCAAAAGCCCUCACAGUGUUCUGCCUGCAUGUAUGCCUGCACACCAGAAGAGGGCACCAGAUCUCAUUACAGAUGUCUGUGAAUCACCAUGUGGCUGCUGAGAAUUGAACUCAGGACCUCUGGAAGAGCAGUCAGUGCUCUUAACCUCUGAGGCAUCUCUCCAGCCCAACCACCAGCACUUUCUCAGUGAUAUUUGCAUAUAUACUUCUGAGAAACCAGGGGUACCGGCCUUGUAAGCAGGUAUAAAAUACUUUUUGAGGUAUCACAACGGGCAAGACAAGAAGGGAGUGGGUGACACCAUAGAAAUUCUGGAGGCAGUGGCAGUUGGUAGAAGAGUGCUUUAUAAGGACCUGGAUGACUCUUUAACCCAGGCUGGCCUGGAACUCACAGUGUAGCCCAGGUUGGUCUUGAACCAAACAGCAAUCUCCCUGCCUCAGUUUCUUAAGUGCUGGGAUUACUGGAGUGAGCCAACAGGCCUGGCUUUGAUAGCACUUGUGGACAGGGUGGCUGGUACAUGGGGAAGUAGACAGAGGUGAGGAGAGGGCAGUGAAUUUUGGAGCAGAGACUGGACAUGACAUGGGAGGGAGUCAAUGACCUGAUUAUGUGUCUAUGAGGUUUAGCACCCCCCCCCCAUCUUGGUCAAUUACUUUCACCAUUUUUUGGUUGAAUAUGUUAUGUUGUGUGUGUGUGUGUGUAUGUGUGUGUGUGCGUGUGCGUGUGUGAAUUAGUUCAAGUCUGAAAGAGGAUGAAGAAAGGACCCUGGGAAAAUAGGUAUGUUAUUCAAGAGAAGUUUUGUUUUGUUUUACCCCAUUGCUUAUCUUUAUCUCUACAGAUAUUCACCAUCCUCCUAUAUACAUUGGCCUAUAGUACUAAGCCAUAAAUUAUGGAACUGAAACUCUAACACAUUUAUUUACAACUAGGUCUCCUCUAGAUACAAUGAAUAUUCUGCAGCUUGGUUUAGAUUUAAAUUUAAAUUGCCUCCACUUACCCCCUGCAUGACCUUAGGCAUUUUAUCUCACUCCUUAGGGCCUUAGUUUCUUCCUAUGCAAACUCAGGCUAUUAGGACUGUGGUGGUGAUUUAGCAGAAUUCAGGGAAAGCCUUCGGCCUAGUGCCUGGCAGUUUUCCAGAUUCACUGCGUGUGAUAGCUUAACCUCACUUUGCUGUCCUCCAUGGGCCACGAGUUGAACUCAGGACCCCUGGAAGAGCAGUCAGCGCUCUUAACCUCUGAGCCCUCUCUCCAGCCCCGAAAGCUCUAUACGUACUCCGAAACCCCGAGUGUACCCGAUAAAAUGUUCUUCCUAUUCUGUUUCAAAAGAUGAAAUUUACCAUUGACCAAGAGUCUCUUCCUUACUAGGUACUUUAGUGGCUGGCCAUGAGAGCAAAAGACCAA